UAGGGAAUAUUGGACAAUGGGUGAGAGCCUGAUCCAGCAACGCCGCGUGAAGGAUGAAGUAUUUCGGUAUGUAAACUUCGAAAGAAUAGGAAGAAUAAAUGACGGUACUAUUUAUAAGGUCCGGCUAACUACGUGCCAGCAGCCGCGGUAAUACGUAGGGACCAAGCGUUGUUCGGAUUUACUGGGCGUAAAGGGCGCGUAGGCGGCAUGACAAGUCACUUGUGAAAUCUCUGGGCUUAACCCAGAACGGCCAAGUGAUACUGUCGCGCUAGAGUGCAGAAGGGGCAAUCGGAAUUCUUGGUGUAGCGGUGAAAUGCGUAGAUAUCAAGAGGAACACCUGAGGUGAAGACGGGUUGCUGGGCUGACACUGACGCUGAGGCGCGAAAGCCAGGGGAGCAAACGGGAUUAGAUACCCCAGUAGUCCCUGAGCGGGCUGGCAAGGCGCAU
rnacentral:rRNA from 1 species